UAAAUACUCCCUCCGUCCGGAAAUACUUGUCCAAGGAAUGGAUGUAUCUAGAUCUAUUUUAGUUCUGGAUACACCCAUUUGUAUCCAUUUCUAUGACAAGUAUUUCUAUGACGGAGGGAGUACCAU
rfam:Triticum aestivum genome assembly, contig: Triticum_aestivum_CS42_TGACv1_scaffold_572429_7AS